CGAGGAUAUGGGUUGCACAUCUGACCACUAUUUCUUCUGUUACCACAAUCCAAUACAAAGAAAUAUCUUGAAGCUGCAGGUGACGUCUGAUCAGAACGUGUUUGAUGCUGCUGUACAGUCACUUUUGAUGAAAAUUGUGCAGAAGCUGGAGGAACUCGGCAUGUUGAAGGACACCACAGUGACAUGGAGGGUUCAGCCUGAU